rnacentral:rRNA from 1 species
AGCAGUCGCCGCGGUAACACGGAGGGGGCUAGCGUUGUUCGGAAUUACUGGGCGUAAAGCGCACGUAGGCGGCUUGGUAAGUUAGAGGUGAAAGCCCGGAGCUCAACUCCGGAAUUGCCUUUAAGACUGCCGAGCUAGUAGGUGAGAGAGGUAAGUGGAAUUCCGAGUGUAGAGGUGAAAUUCGUAGAUAUUCGGAAGAACACCAGUGGCGAAGGCGGCUUACUGGCUCAUUCUAGACGCUGAGGUGCGAAAGCGUGGGGAGCAAACAGGAUUAGAGACCCCAGUAGUCCCUGUCUCUUAUAC